rnacentral:rRNA from 1 species
CCGGACCGGCGCACGGGUGAGUAACGCGUAUGCAACCUGCCCGUUUCUAGCGGGAUAACCCGGAGAAAUCCGGCCUAAUACCGCAUGUGGCCGAGGGGAGGCAUCUUCUUUCGGCCAAAGGAGGCGACUCCGGAGACGGAUGGGCAUGCGUGACAUUAGCUAGUUGGCGGGGUAACGGCCCACCAAGGCGACGAUGUCUAGGGGUUCUGAGAGGAAGGUCCCCCACACUGGUACUGAGACACGGACCAGACUCCUACGGGAGGCAGCAG